rnacentral:rRNA from 1 species
UGAGGAAUAUUGGUCAAUGGGCGGGAGCCUGAACCAGCCAAGUCGCGUGAGGGAAGACGGCCCUACGGGUUGUAAACCUCUUUUGUCAGGGAGCAAGAACAGGCACGUGUGCCUGACUGAGAGUACCUGAAGAAAAAGCAUCGGCUAACUCCGUGCCAGCAGCCGCGGUAAUACGGAGGAUGCGAGCGUUAUCCGGAUUUAUUGGGUUUAAAGGGUGCGUAGGCGGACUGCCAAGUCAGCGGUAAAAUUGCGGGGCUCAACCCCGUCGAGCCGUUGAAACUGGUGGUCUUGAGUGGGCGAGAAGUACGCGGAAUGUGUGGUGUAGCGGUGAAAUGCAUAGAUAUCACGCAGAACUCCGAUUGCGAAGGCAGCGUACCGGCGCCCAACUGACGCUGAAGCACGAAAGCGUGGGUAUCGAACAGGAUUAGAUACC